rnacentral:lncRNA from 1 species
ACAGUAAGGAAACCCAGGGACAACUGUGAUUCUGCAGAGACACCCCUGAGGAUAACAGGACUCUCAGGGAUCAAAAACCCUGAGCUGUCAAAUAUCCAGAUGAGCUCCCCAGUUCCAGGAAUGAGGCGGCUGUUGCAAUUCAUCUGGAUGGAGGCAGAAAAUUGAAAGAGCACAUGGACAUUGUACAGUCUGUCCACGAAGGAAACUCUCACCUGCAAAUUGAGAAGAUUGCUGGCUGCACAACAGGUGUUUUAAAGCCAACUCACACAUCUCCAGCUCUGCGAUAUCAUAAUGGUGACCAGCAGGACUGGGACUCGGAUUCCUUGCUGCAGCCUUCUUGCAAGCAUCAAACCUCUUCUCUUCUCCGAACUUUCUCAUCUGACUUGGCACCAAAUAACUUUGCAGUGCAGAGAAGAUUGUGGUGCAAUCAGAUCGUGGAUUCAGGCAGAUGAGCAGGCUGAAACAGUACACACUGCCCUAUGUGCCCCUGAGCUGAGCUUGAUGGAGAGAUGGAUGWGCCCAGGAACAGUGAAGGUAAAAGUUCUCCAGCCUUGACCAGUGACGUGUUUGUAUGUUUGUUGGGUGAAUGUAUUGGAAUUAUCAAAGGAAAAAAGAAAGGCGAAUUCAAAAAAGAAAUUAGGUAAACCUCAUGCCAAUGAUAAUGAAAGGAUUAUAUAAAAAGAAGAUACUGGGGAAGAUGGUGGAAGUGAACCAGAAGAAUUUCUUUCAGGCAACCCACCUUGUUUUAUUUCUCAAAGUGGGAGAAGUCAAAUUAGAGCAGGAAGUUAAAAAAUAAAUGGAACUCAAUCAAAAAGAGCA